AAUUCCCAGGAGCACGUACAGGCGUCGACGUCGCGCCGUUCUUACUCGUCGCUCGCGCUCUUUAUACCUACUUCCGCCCGCGAACUACUUCCUUUUUUUUCCGGGGCGCGCGGCGGCAAGAUGGCGGUGCAGAUUUCGAAGAAGAGGAAGUUUGUCGCUGAUGGCAUCUUCAAAGCUGAACUGAACGAGUUCCUCACUCGGGAGCUGGCUGAAGAUGGCUACUCCGGGGUUGAAGUCCGAGUUACACCAACCAGGACAGAAAUCAUCAUCUUGGCCACCAGGACACAGAAUGUUCUUGGUGAGAAGGGCCGGCGGAUCCGAGAAUUAACUGCUGUGGUUCAGAAGAGGUUUGGUUUCCCCGAGGGCAGUGUAGAGCUUUAUGCUGAAAAGGUGGCUACAAGAGGUCUGUGUGCUAUUGCCCAGGCAGAAUCUCUGCGUUACAAACUCCUAGGAGGCCUUGCUGUGCGGAGGGCCUGCUAUGGUGUGCUGCGGUUCAUCAUGGAGAGUGGGGCCAAAGGCUGUGAGGUCGUGGUAUCUGGGAAACUCCGAGGACAGAGGGCUAAAUCCAUGAAGUUUGUGGAUGGCCUGAUGAUUCACAGUGGGGACCCUGUUAACUACUACGUUGACACUGCUGUGCGCCAUGUACUGCUCAGACAGGGUGUGCUGGGCAUCAAAGUGAAGAUCAUGCUUCCCUGGGACCCAAGUGGUAAGAUUGGCCCUAAGAAGCCCCUGCCGGAUCAUGUGAGCAUUGUGGAACCCAAAGAUGAGAUACUGCCCACCACCCCCAUCUCCGAACAGAAGGGUGGGAAGCCAGAGCCUCCUGCUAUGCCACAGCCAGUACCCACAGCGUAACAGGUGUGUCUCUAGGGGCCUUUUGGGGUGGAGCAGGACCCUCUUCUCUUGUCUUCCUGCUACUAGUGUGUCCCAUACUGUGCUAAGCACUAAUACAUAAACCCGGACUGUACUUUAUUGACGCUUCACAACGCAGGCUGGAGCGAGGGGCCCAUUUAACCAGGGAUUCUGUAGGGAGGGGUAUACCCUGGUCUCCUAAGAAGUUCCUAUGUUUACCACUGAGUUUGAAACAAGAUGUUUCCUCUUAUUUGCUUAAAAUCAAGCACUCUUGUUAGUUACCUGUUCUUCAGUAGCCCCUUAAGGAGUUGAAACAGUAACACCAAGCCUCUUCUAAGCCUAGCACCUUUUGUUUGUUUCUGGGUGUUCUGUGUGUGUAUAUAUAUCUUCACGCACAUCCUAAGUGGGAAAUGAAAGAACCCAGUAUUCAGGUGAAAAUUCUGUUCUUACUGUUGUGCUUUAUUUGGUUUCAGGAUCUCUCCGGCAGCUGGAUCUGGAGACUGGAUUUCAAUCCAUGAAGACCUUUAAUAAAAUCUUUGAGAAAGAUA